AUAACAGCGAGUUUGAUGGUGGCUCUGAUUGAAUGCUAUUCAAAUGCUUGACACAUGCUAAUCGAACGCCUAGUUUAUUUAUAAUAAAAAACUAGAAAGUGGUGUACAGGUGAGGAAAGGGUAUGUUUACUGCCUUAGAGCAAGGAGAAAUACCUUAUAAAAACAAAGAAAUUAUUAAAUAAAUAAUUUUGCUUUAAGAUGUUAUCUUAAUACCUCGGGUAAGUAGAGUAGUAGUUAAAGUAAUGGUUUAACUAGCUUUAUCUCGUAGUCGAGUCUGAAAGGUCCUUCGACCACAUUGGAACUGAGACAAGUUCAAUGCGAUUUUUUUUGCACUGCAGUGGGGAAUAUUGGUCAAUAGCCUAACGGCUGAACCAGCGAUUUGAAGGAAUGAAGAUCUACUUUGAAAUAUAAGAAGACUAAAAUUCUGGUUAGUAAAAUGAUAAUGACAAUUUUCUAUCUAAAUGUCUUGACUAAUUCACGUGCCAGCAGUCGCGGUAAUACGUGAGAGACUAGCGUUAUUCAUAUUUAAUUGGUUUAAAGGGUUACUAGACGGUAAUUUUUGCCUUUGAAUGGGGACAGAGUUACUAGAGUUUUAUGUGAAAAGUAUAUUUAGAACUCAUGGUGUAGAACUGAUAAUUUAAAAUACUAUGGGGAAUGAUAAAGGCGAAGGCAAACUUUUAUGUAAAAACUGACGUUGAGGAACGAAGGCAAGGACAGUGAAUAGGAUUAGAACCCUAGUAACCCUAGCAGAAAAUGAUGAGUGCCAUAGGUUGUAUUAAAUUUAAAUCGCCUAUAAAUGAAAAUGUAAGCAUUCCACCUCAAGAGUAAUGUGGCAACACAGAAACUGUAACCAUUAGACCAACUCCGAAACUAGUAGUGAAGUGUGUUAUUUAAUUCGAUGAUCCACGAAAAAUCUUACCACAAUUUGAAUAUUUAGUGACAAGAAAUUAAUUUAAUUUUUGUAAAAAAAAUAAUGUUUUUUUACUUCUUUUUACAAGUGUUGCACGGCUGUCUACAGUUGUUGCCGCGAGGCUUUGGUUGGCUCCAACAAGUGACGUACACCCUAAUUUUAUUUAAAACUAAUUUCAUUUUAUGAAAUAAAUUAUAAAGUUAUUCAUCUUGAUAUGAGAUGUAUUUAUGGGAUAAAGACAAGUCCUCAUGACCUUAAUAUUGUGGGCUAUAGACGUGCCACAUUAGCUAAAACAAAGGGAUGCUAAAAUGUGAAUAUUCGCUAAUCCCUAAACAGGAUAUAAUAUGGAUUGUAUGUCUGAAACUCGACUACAUGAAUAAGGAAUUACUAGUAAUCGUGCAUCACCAUGGCACGGUGAAACUUAUCUCGGAUAGGUACUAACUACUCGUCAAGCACUGAAAGGAGCACACGCAAUAAGUUGAGUUUAGUUUAAAUCAUAAUAUAGUAAUUAGACUAUUAAGAUGGUUUAGGAUAGAUUUUCGAAUGUAUGGCUGCAAUUGGUGUUAAGUCGAAAUACGGUUGUUGUAGAGGAAUCUGCAGCGGACUUAUAAAAAAAUUAACAAUACCCCCCUAGUCAACUUUAUAUAGGUAAAAAGUUCUGGUUCAAAUCCGGAAUAAAGUAAUGUUUUUUACUAGUAACACAUUUUUAUUGAAUAUCAAUGCGGGCACUUUGAGCCCAGAAAGAAAAUUAUUAAGGGUAGUCACUCUUAUACUGCUAUGUUAUGACAGCUUCUAUAUUAGAAUAUUCGACACAGUAAUAGGCAUAUAUGAUGAUUUAUUCCAUUCAGCGUCCAUAACGUAUAGUUUUGCCCUUUUAGUAGGAGCUAUUAUGUUACAAUUAGUUGAUUUUUACCCCAGACGUUUACAAGAACCAAUGGGACAAACGUAAAGAAAAUAUCUUUAUCUUCAACAAAUAUUUCAAUUAUUCUUAUUUUACUUGCUUUAUUAUUAUUCUUAGAAAACUUUUCUUUGGAUUCUUCCCUUUACUUAUUAAUUUUUCCUAUUAAAACUUAUAAAAAUCUAGCGAUUCCAGAUAACCAAAAAGAAAUUAUUAAAGAAAACAUAGGGCUGUCAGCCGUUUAUUGUUGGAAAAAAUGAUAAAAAUAAAUUACUGAACAAUUUGGCGGUACAGUGGAAAAAUUAAAUCCUUGGUUUAUUACUGGUUUCAGCGAUGGGGUGAGCACUUUCACAAUUUCAAUUACUAAAGACAAUCGGACAAGAAAAACAACUAGAAGGAUAGACUCUGAAAGAAUAAUCUAUGAAAAUACAAUAAUUAAAAUGGGAGAACAAUUUAGAAUUUUUGAAUUGCCCUUUAUUAUACUGGGAAUAUUUUUAAUGUCUAGUAGUGAUUUAGUUUCUAUGUUUUUAGAAAUACAAUUCCAAAUUUUCUCCGCAGUCAGGUCUUUAUGAAUUUUAUUUGUCGAUAUUUCCUUAGGUUCUGCUUUUCUUUGCGCUCUUAUUCCAAUCAAAAGUUAUUCUAACGUUGAGGCUGAGAAAGAUAAAAUUAUUCAAGAUAAUAAUAAUAAAUCAGGUAUUUAUUGCUUCAGAAAUUUUAAAAAAUGGAUACAAAUAUAUAGGCUUUAAGAAGAAGAUUUGUGAGUUAUUUUAAUACUAACUAUUUAAUUAGAAAUAAAUCGAUGGCCAUUUCUUGUGCUCUGCUUAAACACGGAUAUCAAAAUUUUUCUCUUGAGAUUCUUAAAUAUUGUGAAGUUUCUGAGCUUAUAAAAAGGGAAAAGGAUUUAAUUGAGUUAUUCAACUCAGAAUACAACAUAGUUAAGGAUCCAACUAAAAAUCCAAUGUUUGGACGUAAACACUCUGAUGAAACUCGUCAAAAAAUGUCUUAUGAUAGGACAGGUUCUAAACGUUCAGAUGAAACUAGAAAAAAAAAUCUACCCUUCGGGAGGAAAAAAGAAAAUUCUAGUCGUUUUAAACCAGCCUCAGCCUCCGGCAGGUGAGAAAAUCAUUCUAAUUUCUCCCUCCCGUAGGGCAAGGGUGGAAACAAAAACACAAAGGAGCAGGAAAGCCCUCUCAAAAAAUAGAAGUUUUUAGUAUAAAUACAAAGGAAUUAAUUACCUAUGAUUCUAUUAGUGAAGCAGCAAGAGCUUUAGAUAUUCCUUUUCAAUCAAUUGUUAGUUACUUAAAAAAAAAUAGAAAGGAGCCAUAUAAAGGAAUAUAUAUUUUCAAGAAGAUAAAAAAGCAACCUUACCCGGUAUAGCCAACCCUUAAAAGAUUCGUUCCUUUAUUAAAAUCGUGUUAAGUUAAAUAUUUCCUUGUUGAUUUGCCAUAUCUUUAAAUUUCAAAGAUAAUAACUUUUUAUAUAACUUGCAAUCUUACUUUGGAGUAGGAAAAAUAAAAAAUGAUUUACAAAAUAAUGCAAUUGUUUAUUAUGUAAAUUCAAUUCAAGAUUUAACAAAUGCAAUAAUACCCCAUUUCGAGAAGUAUCCUCUAUUAACUCAGAAACAUGCUGAUUUUUUAUUAUUUAAACAAGUUGUAUACCUCAUAAAUAAAAAAGAGCAUCUGACUAGUGAAGGAUUAGCUAAAAUUCUGGCCCUAAAAGCGUCUAUGAACAAUGGUUUAUCUCCUGCCAAUGGGUGGAAAAUUAAAAGAAUUUUUCCCUCAUAUUGCACCAGUUCCAAGACCCUUAGUUGAAAAUCAAGAAAUUCUUGAUCCUAAUUGACUCGCCGGUUUCACUAGUGGGGAUGGAUAUUUUGAUGUUAUAAAAGGGGCCUCCGGCGUGGAAAAAAUAAAUAUAAUAAAAUCAGAAAUGAAUUUUAGUCCUAUUAAGAGUUAUAUAAAUAUCCUAGAAAAUAAAAAACAAAUUUUCUUAGAAAAUAAGAAUCAAUCAGGUAUUUAUAUUUUUACAAAUUUAAUCAAUGGAAAAAAUAUAUCGGAAGUUCCUAUAAUUUAAGAAGAAGAUUUUCUCCCUCCGGGGCCUCCGGCGGAGUAUUUAAAUAUUAAUCAUUUAAUUCGAAAUAACUCUAUGUAUAUCUGUCGUUCCUUAUUUAAACCUGGAUAUUCUAAUUUUAUAUUAGAAAUUCUAGAGUACUGUGAACCUUCUAAACUUUUAGAAAGAGAAAAAUAAUUUUUUGAUCUCUUAUCUCCAGAGUACAAUCUCUCUCAAAAUCCUAUUUCUUCCUUUUUGGGCCAAAAACAUUCCCCUGAGGCUAGUUUCUAGACAAAAAAUGUCAGAGGCUAAGAAGGGAAAAUCAAGGAUUCUUUCGGAUGAUCAUAAAGCUGCUAUUCGUGCUUCUAUGAUUGGAAACACAAAUAAUAAAAAUCAAUCUAAGGCUCAAAAAAUAAAAGUUCUAGAUCUAACAACAAAUGAAUCAACUAUUUUUUCUUCUAUCAACGAGGCUGCAAGAGCUUUAAAUUUAAGUCCUCCUACUAUUGCUUAUCAUCUUAAAUCUGAAAGUACAAAAGCUUGUAAAAAUCGUUAUUUUUUUUUUCACACGUCUAUAAUUAGUAUUUUCCUGAGAUCUCCCCAAAACAAACAAAAAACUGCGUCUUUCUUCACCAAUUCUUAGGCCUUCUUCUCCUUUUCCUCUCCCAAUUAAACAAAAUGGGUUUAAUAAUACGUUAAACCUAACCAUAAGAAGAGAGGAAAACUCCUAUAUUAACGACAAAAAACCAUUCGACUAUUUAAAUGCACUUUCUUAUCUUGAUAAAAAAAAAAGAUAUGAAUAAAGUUGCUUUUUUAUAGACAGGAAACCUCUCGGUCAUUUUUAUCGAAUAUGUUAAAACUAUUCGAGUAAAUAAUAAUGGCUGGUUAGUCUUCCUGCUUAUGAGCAGGUUUCAUAAUUAAAAAGGCAAGAUUGUGGAGCCCCUAUUUUAAUAAUGGGUAACGGGAAGCUGAUCCGCGAGGAUAGUGGGCCGUAGCAGUAGAAAUACUGGCUUGAGAGGACAGAAAGCCGCAGUCGGUAUUGAGGAUAGAUAUUAUUUAACUUUCCUCAGUGCUUAAGGUGUAAACAGCUGAAUGAAUAAUAGCUUAUAAAAGCUUCUUACGGUAAAUUUUUGUUUCUUUAGGCCGUUUUAGAAUAAUCAUCAGUUGGAAAUACGGUUAGGGUAAAGGAAUUUGCUCUGGACUUAUACAAAAU
rnacentral:rRNA from 1 species